rnacentral:lncRNA from 1 species
GACGCCACUGUGCUGUUGCGUCUUGCGCAGCGCAGACACCUCCACUCUGGAUUGAAACGAAAAAGCUCGCGAUCCAACUUAGAAAUAAUGUUUCAUUCAAGAUAAGGCUCGUGGCUUAGGAGAUUGUGACCUGGCUUGCAUCAUUCUAAGACUUCUAUCGUCUGUUUUCAAAACCCAAGGAGGACCUCCUUUUCUGUGUGAUAGUUCCUCAUGCUUUGCCAGCCACUGGGUCUUUAAGGAAGCUUGCCAAGAGUUCCCGGCUGGGAAGGACAGUUCGAGUUCAUCAUAGACAAUGAGCUGGCACCACAGUUUAAGUGACUCACCAACCUGGUUGCCCACUUCAAAAUGUCAAGAACCACACUAUCUAAUUGAAAGAACUGUGUUUUAGCAAAGUGUAAUUGGAUCGCCUGGCAAGAUCAUCUCAAACUAUGUCUCUGACCUUGCCUUUCAGUGGCUAUUUUGAGCACAAGAGGAGAAAGGAAAUGAUUCCUGAAUUAUAUCUUGUUUUUAAAAAUUAAGAUUAAUUAAUACUUGGUUUUAUGUUCAUUCCAUUGUAGGAACUUAGUGAUUAUUACAAAACAGUCAAAAUAGGUCAUAGCAAAAUGAACGUUUAAGAUUAGGUUAAAACAUUCCUCUGAAAUUUUAGUAUUCACUUUUGAAGUGUCAAUUACUAUAUUUCUGUAAUUUCUCAUUUUUUUCUUGGCUUAGAGUCAAGAUGAAAAAUGAUAUUUGAAUCAAAGACAUUGUUUUGUUAUAUAGCCACUCCUUUCUAAAAUGCAAAUCCACCCUCCCCUCACCAAUGCUUUAUUCUUUGUGCGCGCACACACACACACACACACACACACACACACACACACACACAGACAUACACAGAACCAGCACCCAAAUGGUAGAGGAGGUCCUUCCAAGACUUCUAGGACCUGGAUCAUGUAAGCAGUAGAUGAGAAAAUGAAGUAAGAGAUAUAGAGUAAUAACAAUAAAAGUCAAUGAUUUCAUUUUACAAAAAAGUCAUUGUGUAGUACUCAGAUAUUUUUAAGAGCAAGUAUUAUUAUGACUAAAGUAUAUUAUACUUCUAAAUUAUUAUGAUUCUCAUCUAAUUUCAAGCCACACAUAGGCGCCAUUUGAAAGCAUUUUGUGUUACAACCUAUCAACAAAAAUCAACUAAUAGUUUUAUAACGUGCAUAGGUUUACCCCAUGGGGAAUUAAAAUUUUUAUCUGCAAGUAUUUCUGUUGUUGUGAGACUUUAGGACAAGACAACAUUUGGUGUUAACAUAGAAGAAUAUUCUAUGGCUUUUUUAGCUUUAAAGUUCAUUACUCUAAAAUAAAGUACACGUGGUAUUUUUUUCUUCCUAGUGUUCUCUUAUUAUAUGUAGAGUAUUUUCGGUUGUUGUUUUUAACGUAUACAUUAUUUUUAUUAAGUCAUUUCAUAAAAGAUAAGAUAUAUACUAAUAGACCCUUGGUUUUCUCCUAAUUUAAUUAUUUCAAGUCAAGCAAAAUUGGGCAAUUUUCUUUCAGGAAAAAAAAAAUAUUGAGCAUGAUUUUGAGGUAAAACUGAUUAUUUACAGCAUCUUUUCUCUAAUAGGCUAACAUUUAUGAUGGAUCUUAUUUCAAAGUUGAUUAUUCUCAAAGAAAAGUGGAGAUAUUAGAAUUUCCGAGUAAAUUGCAUUGUUUUAAAAAGUACUUUAAUGCAUUGUUCACAUUGUUGCCAGCUAUUGACCAAAAAAGAGAAGAAGAAAAAAGAAAUAAAAAAAGCAGUAUCUGCUCCAAACGUCAAGUUUUGCAGUUUGAAAGACUUGUACAUUAUAAUUGUUUUUUUCUUUUUUGGAAAGCAGUAGUAAUUAAUACCAAAGGCAUAGACAAUUUAGGGCCAUAACCUCCCUUCCCCCCUCUCCACCUUUUUUUUUUUUUUUUUUUUUUUUUAACUUUAACCAUGAUAGGCAUCUCUGCAAGGUAGGUUUUAACAUAUUUUUUUCCUAAUUUUUUUCCCUCCAUUCAGUAAGAAGGAUAAGCUUUUAGAGUACCCAGUCACCGUGGUAACUGCCAAAAAAAUUCUCCUGAAGUUUGAAGAGGUCAGCUAGCAGGGUCAACAACCCUGGCCUCUCUCUGAGCUCGGUCUAGCAUGCCCCAGCCUGCGGUUGGAGUGUCAGGCCAGAUCUGACCCUGGGAGGUGGACCAUUCUGGCUCUGAUAUAAAUUUUUCGAGUCAGUUCAUGGCCUGGACUCUCCAGGUGGCCUCCAAAAUCGAUUUUGACCCCCUGACCCUGUCUCACGGAGGCAUAGCAUCCACCCUAAGUAAGGAUUUAGCCAGGAAUGACAGCUUUCCACUGAGUGUUAUUGGGGACAGUAUAAACAGUUUGGAAAGCAAGUAAGGAGGUGUGAGGGCUAGCAAUCAUUAAAAGCACAUUAAAAAACAAUUUUUAAAAAUCUUUAUUAGAGAAAGUUGUAAAUGCAUAUCUGUUACAGAAUUCCUGUGAUUUGUAGAGUUUUCUAGUCAGUUUUGAAUAUAAAUAGGUCACAUAUCUUUAUCUUUUUGCAUACUUUGUUACAAAUAUGCAAAUAAGAUAGGCAUACUUGCUACAAAAUAGGUACAGCAGGAAUGUAAUAUGUUCAGAAAAGGCAAACUGGUUAUUAAAACACAUUAACAGGUAAGGAGUUUCUAAUAUUUUAAAUACUAAAAUUUUACAUGUGUAUUUUGAAGUUUUUAAAAUGGAAAAAUAAAGAACCUUUAAAAAACCCAACAGUGUGGAAUAAAGAUAAACUUGUUGCACUCAAGGUACAUUUCUACUUUGUAAAGCAAGAAGCCAAUACACUCAGUUGGAUAAAAAUGAGAGAAAAAUUGUAAAUAUAGAGAGUUACAGCUUAUAGAGCUGAAGAGGAAUAAAACAAAAAAAAGUGUCUCUGAAUAACUUUAUGUAUUUUCA